rnacentral:rRNA from 1 species
UCCGUAGGGUGCAAUCGUUGUCCGGAUUUAUUGGGUUUAAAGGGUGCGUAGGCGGCCCGUUAAGUCAGUGGUGAAAUACAGCAGCUCAACUGUUGAUGCGCCAAUGAUACUGGCGGGCUAGAGUACAGACGAGGUAGGCGGAAUUGACAGUGUAGCGGUGAAAUGCAUAGAUAUUGUCAAGAACACCGAUAGCGCAGGCAGCUUGCUAGCCUGUAACUGACGCUGAGGCACGAAAGUGUGGGGAUCAAACAGG